GACGAACGCUGGCGGCGUGCUUAACACAUGCAAGUCGAACGGAAAGGCCCUGCUUUUGUGGGGUGCUCGAAUGGCGAACGGGUGAGUAACACGUGAGUAACCUGCCCUUGACUUUGGGAUAACUCCAGGAAACUGGGGCUAAUACCGGAUAGGAGCUCCUGCUGCAUGGUGGGGGUUGGAAAGUUUCGGCGGUUGGGGAUGGACUCGCGGCUCCUCAGCUUGUUGGUGGGGUAGUGGCUUACCAAGGCUUUGACGGGUAGCCGGCCUGAGAGGGUGACCGGCCACAUUGGGACUGAGAUACGGCCCAGACUCCUACGGGAGGCAGCAGUGGGGAAUAUUGCACUAGGGGCGGAAGCCUGAUGCAGCAACGCCGCGUGCGGGAUGACGGCCUUCGGGUUGUAAACCGCUUUCGCCUGUGACUAAGCGUGAGUGACGGUAAUGUGUAAAGAAGCUCCGGCUAACUACGUG
rnacentral:rRNA from 1 species